rnacentral:misc_RNA from 1 species
UGUGAGCUUAUUGGUGUUGAAUGCUUAUGAUUAAAUGUCUUGAAUUAGUUAAAUGCAAUGAAUUGGUGAACUAGGGUUUUGAACACUUAGGGUUUAGGAGUCAAAAAUGUGAGAAAUGAUAUGUUUGACCUAGUUUGAGGUGAGAAAUGGUCAUUUGUGACCAAAUGAAGUGUGUUGGAAGUGUUGGAGUUGAGGUUAAAUUUGGAUUCAAUGUGGUCAUGCUGCAG